rnacentral:rRNA from 1 species
UGAAUUUGAUUUUUAAGUGAAAAAGCUUAAAUAUUUUUGGGGGACGAUAAGACCCUAUGGAUCUUUAUAAUGAUGAUUAAUAAAAAGUUUAGAAGUUACAGCUUUUUACUCUAAGUUAUUGGGUUGGGGCGACUGGAAGAAAAGAAUAUCUCUUCUUAAAAAUAAAUAUUAUUUAUAGAAUUAAAAAUGACCCUAAAUUUUGGUUUANCAGAUCAAGUUACCCUAGGGAUAACAGCGUAAUCUUUUUGGAGAGUUCAUAUCGAUGAAAAGGUUUGCGACCUCGAUGUUGGAUUAAGAGAUCCUUGCGGCGCAGCAGUUGCGGAGGAAAGUCUGUUCGACUUUUAAAUUCUU